rnacentral:rRNA from 1 species
CCUACGGGAGGCAGCAGUGGGGAAUCUUGCGCAAUGGGCGAAAGCCUGACGCAGCCAUGCCGCGUGAAUGAUGAAGGUCUUAGGAUUGUAAAAUUCUUUCACCGGGGACGAUAAUGACGGUACCCGGAGAAGAAGCCCCGGCUAACUUCGUGCCAGCAGCCGCGGUAAUACGAAGGGGGCUAGCGUUGCUCGGAAUUACUGGGCGUAAAGGGAGCGUAGGCGGAUAGUUUAGUCAGAGGUGAAAGCCCAGGGCUCAACCUUGGAAUUGCCUUUGAUACUGGCUAUCUUGAGUACGGAAGAGGUAUGUGGAACUCCGAGUGUAGAGGUGAAAUUCGUAGAUAUUCGGAAGAACACCAGUGGCGAAGGCGACAUACUGGUCCGUUACUGACGCUGAGGCUCGAAAGCGUGGGGAGCAAACAGGAUUAGAUACCCUGGUAGUCCACGCUGUAAACGAUGAGUGCUAGUUGUCGGCAUGCAUGCAUGUCGGUGACGCAGCUACGACAUAAGUACACUCCGCCGUCGGGAGGUACGGUCGCGAAGAAGUUAAACGUAACGUAAAGUUAAAGUUAGUACGGACGUUGAGACGUUGCCGACGGACGACGACGAGGGAGGAGG